rnacentral:lncRNA from 1 species
CUCCAAGCAAGAUACUAACUCUGUGAGACUGAUUCAUGUAAGGUGACUUCUUUUUUUUUUAAAUUAUGACCACACCCGCUGAUACGAAAGUUCCCAGGCCAGGGAUGGAAUCUGAACUGCAGCUGCAACCUGCACCACUGCAGUGGUAUUCCCAACCCACUGAGCCACAGCAGGAACUCUGUUUCAUGUAAGGUAACUCUUAGACAGUGUCUUAAACAGUGAUUCUCAACCUGGGUGCAUCUAGGAGCUAUUUGGCAAUGUGGAAACAUUGUUUUGAUUCUGGGGAUGGGAAUUCCCUUCGAGUGGGUAGAGAUCAGAGGGGUAGCUUCUUGUCCUUCCUGCAGCACAUAGACAGCCUCCCACAGAAAAGGGAAAAAAAUGAUGCCUAAAUAUUAAUAGUGCUGAAGUUGAGAAACUCUGCCUUGUAAUAAUAGUUCCAAAUUCAUAAUGGGGACAUAGAAACAAAGGAACAAUUAGCUUCCACUAAGUUCGUCCCCCCCUUUCCCUCCCUUCCUCCCUCCCUGCCCCCCCUCCCCUGCACAGAACACAAACGCUUUCUCAGAUCUGGGAUUUUGCUGGGAAACAUGAGUCCUGGUCUAACUCUCUACAUGCCCCCACUCAACCCCAUCCCGUGAGCAUUGCUUAAAUCCACAAGGCAACUUUUCUCGCUUCAAAGGAGAGAGCCCAUUCUCUCUGCAGUGACAGAGAUUGAAUAGGUGCUUAUCAUCCUAGCACAUGUUGGGAGGUUAAGGUCUCUUUUCUUGUUUUCAGAAGAUGGAAGCCACAAAAAUAUCAUGUAGCAUGAAUAAUGGCAACCAGAUUUCAUCCUGUGCUUUGCUGUAAAAACCAGGCAGCAGGCGUUUGCCUACAUGAAGAGCAGCAGCGGGUCUACCUCCAGGUGGUUUCUUCCUGAGGUUUGUGUUGCCCAAACUCUGGGAACAGUCUCUGCUCUGUUCCUGUGGAAGAUGUCUCUCGCGCCGGCUCCCAACCUCGCCCAUGAUGCCAAGUGCCCGCUGCUUCCUCUCCAGUCCCGCUGUUCCUCAGAUACAGCCUUUGUCUCAUGCUCAGACAAGUGCACUGGACUACUUAUUAGUCACUCGACUACCUUGAGACACAUUCACCGCUCUCCUUCACACCUGGCCUGCCCUGUCCUGUUCCGAACUCACCAGCAAUACAGCGUGCCCGCCCUGCAAAGCCCAAAGGCCUUGUCCCUCGCUGGACAUCUCUGUGAGAGGAUCCAGGACCUAGUGAAGCCAGCCAGACCUCACUUCUCAGAGGGCCCUUUGCUAGCGGAGUCAUCUUGA